CCUACGGGAGGCAGCAGUGGGGAAUAUUGGGCAAUGGAGGCAACUCUGACCCAGCAACGCCGCGUGAAUGAUGAAGGUCUUCGGAUUGUAAAGUUCUGUGAUGGAGGAUGAACACAAUGACGGUACCCCAAUAGCAAGCCACGGCUAACUACGUGCCAGCAGCCGCGGUACUACGUAGGUGGCAAGCGUUAUCCGGAAUGACUGGGCGUAAAGGGUGCGUAGGUGGUUUAGUAAGUUGGCGGUGUAAUUCCGGGGCUCAACCUCGGCGCUACCGCCAAAACUAUUAGACUAGAGUGCAGGAGGGGUAAGUGGAAUGCCUAGUGUAGCGGUGGAAUGCGUAGAUAUGAGGAGGAACAUCAGGGGCGAAGGCGACUUACUGGACUGAAACUGACACUGAGGCACGAAAGCGUGGGGAGCAAACAGGAUUAGAUACCCUAGUAGUC
rnacentral:rRNA from 1 species